rnacentral:rRNA from 1 species
ACUGAACCUUAUCAUUUAGAGGAAGGAGAAGUCGUAACAAGGUUUCCGUAGGUGAACCUGCGGAAGGAUCAUUGUCGAGACCCAAAAAUAAUAAUAAAUUGACGGCCAAUUUGUCAAUCUAGUAUGUUGCUUUGAUGGGGUGCGUAGGAUUGGACGGGAUUUUCUUGCUCUCUUCCUAACUGCUUCGUCGGGUGGAUGUCGUCUUGCUGUUGUUCCCAUGAAGGGAAGACGGUAGAUGUUUUGAUAAACCUGGCAUGAUAUGUGUCAAGGAUCUUCUUUGCUCAUGUAGUGUGGUGUUGGGUUGCUGACAACUUUCUCUUGCUUAUGUGAGCUAUUGAAAAAGUCAUGUCUAUGAUGACUCUCGGCAACGGAUAUCUAGGCUCUCGCAUCGAUGAAGAACGUAGCAAAAUGCGAUACUUGGUGUGAAUUGCAGAAUCCCGUGAACCAUCGAGUUUUUGAACGCAAGUUGCGCUCGAGACCUUUUGGUCGAGGGCAUGCCUGCUUGGGUGUCAUGCCUCGUGUCACUCUGUGUACCCCAUGCCUUUGCAUUGGGAUAGAUGGAAGUGGAGAUUGGCUUAUCGUGUCUUUCAUGGUGUGAUGGGCUAAAGAAUUGGAUGUCAAUGUGGCAUGUGGACACGACUAGUGGUGGAUGGACAAAUUUAUUGGCCGAGACCGAUGUCGUUCCUCCCCUUUGGCAUCUAUAAUGAACGACCCUUUGAAGGGAUUGUUCUCUCGUGUUGCGACCCCAGGUCAGGCGGGACCACCCGUUGAGUUUAAGCAUAUCA